ACCUCAUUAACAUAACAAAAGAUAGAUUUAUGCUCUCAUCACUUAGAAGAUGCCAAGGGUUUAGGAGUUCUGUGCCAGCAACUGGAUGAAGAGCAAAUAUAUAUUUCUUAUUAUAAAAUCACAACGUCACAGUUGCCUUUACCAGAAAAGAGGAAAUGGAUUUUAGACAGCCAACAUACCGCUACAUUGGGGAACAUCCAUGAAGGAGAACUAAGUUGGAUUUUGAAGUGUUGCAUUGCAUUGUGGACCAGAAAAAGCUCUGUGCAUAGGAACGCCUCCACGCAGAGCCUUCCGUCAGCCCCUGUCCUCGUGGGGAAGGAGAAGCCUGGCCGAACUCCCUCUCACCAUCACUCCGUCUCCACUUCCAGCCCCCCCCCCCCCAACGCGGGUGUCUGAAUCUCCUUUUGUUACUUGUCUUGGACCUCUUGUCUCUCCACCUACGAGACCUCCGUCCUGUUAAUAACUAGGAGAGGUAUCACUUUGCUUAAUCCUGUGGGUUUUUUCCAAACACAUGUCAAAGAUUUUAUUUAACUCAAUAAUUAAUACGGAAACCAGGAAGAUGUUACAACCAGUUCGAAGGAGAACUCAAAGGACCACAUGUAUGUGGACUGAGAAGCAAUUCAAGAAAUGAAUUUGCAGAUUGACAUAAGACCAGCAGAACUGGGCAUAUCCAGAGCUUGAUGACCAGUUGCAUUCCACUGGACACGACUUGGAUUUCUCUGAACAAGGGUUACUUGCAUUACUAUCAGUUUUCUCCAAGUUAACUUCUAUCUCUACAGAGUUUUAAAAAAAGUUUUUCGCCAGGCUUAUUGAGAUAUAAU
rnacentral:lncRNA from 1 species